rnacentral:lncRNA from 1 species
UAGCUGGAUAUACCAAUGGAAUAUUGAUAAUAGAAUGGGUGAGGCCGAGAAUGAAGAUGCGGAUGCGGAUGGUCGGUUUAUUUUAAAUUUUGUGGUCGUUUUAAUUUGAAUUUUUUAUUUUUAAAAUUAUUUUUUUCUAUUUUAAUAAGAUAGUAUUGAAUUUUUUUUUUAUAUAUAUAUAUAUAUAAAUCAACCACACAUGGUCGUUUUUUAAAAAAGCUACAACAGUUUUACCGAUCAAAUGAAGAUUUAGAAUUAUUUGCAUUAAUAUUUAAGUUGUAAAUAUGACGGAAAUUUUUGUUAUGAAUUUCUUUUAUUAUAGUGGUGUUCAUCGGGUUUGAUAUGGUUUUCAUCAAAAGCAAAAGAAGACCAACUAUCGAAAAUGGCAUAACUAAAAAUACGACAUUUCAAGAUAAAUAGAUUUUGGAAAUUGACCAAUCAAACUAUAUAGGAUAUUUACAGAACCAGAUUU